rnacentral:rRNA from 1 species
AUUGAACGCUGGCGGCAGGCCUAACACAUGCAAGUCGAACGGUAACAGGAAACAGCUUGCUGUUUCGCUGACGAGUGGCGGACGGGUGAGUAAUGUCUGGGAAACUGCCUGAUGGAGGGGGAUAACUACUGGAAACGGUAGCUAAUACCGCAUAACGUCGCAAGACCAAAGAGGGGGACCUUCGGGCCUCUUGCCAUCAGAUGUGCCCAGAUGGGAUUAGCUAGUAGGUGGGGUAACGGCUCACCUAGGCGACGAUCCCUAGCUGGUCUGAGAGGAUGACCAGCCACACUGGAACUGAGACACGGUCCAGACUCCUACGGGAGGCAGCAGUGGGGAAUAUUGCACAAUGGGCGCAAGCCUGAUGCAGCCAUGCCGCGUGUAUGAAGAAGGCCUUCGGGUUGUAAAGUACUUUCAGCGGGGAGGAAGGGAGUAAAGUUAAUACCUGUGCUCAUUGACGUUACCCGCAGAAGAAGCACCGGCUAACUCCGUG